AAAAAAAAAAAACGGGGCUGUGUUUCUUCAGGAAUGGACUACGUCUGCCCCUUAAAAGCUGGGUAAAAUCUGACAGCCAAAUGAACCAGAUCCAGUUUAUGUGUGAUGGUUUCCCUGCAAGUUUCAAAAUUUACCCACAAUCAAACCCAGCUGGCUUGACUUUUGACAAAAGUAAUUGCAAUACGAGAAGCUGCCACUCAAAAACGUAUAAGUGCAAAUAGAUUUUUUUUUCUUUUCUUGGGUUACUGUAACAGUAUUUAGGAAGGAAAAAAAAGCAGUCGAUCCUGAACGCAUCUUUAAAAAGGGCUCCUCUGUGCCCAUAUUCCCUCUGUAUGUUUUCAUUGGUUGGAGUGUGUUUGUGUGUGUGCUUGUGUGUGUGGAAGUGGGAUAAAGUGUAUAUGAAUGUAUGAAAAUAGGGUGGGACUUUCCAUUCAUGCUGCACCUCUCCCCUGCAGAGGCUGCAUUCCCAGCACCACUCAGGGGGCUCCAGUAAGUGAUCCACGAUACCAAACCGACCCGGAAUUUGAGGAACGUUUUCCCUGUGGUUUCAGGUUACCACAUACACACGCUAAACACAGAUCACACACAACGGCCUCCACAGUAAUGUACUGCACUUUUGUUAUUGGUACAGAGCUAUUUUUGCUAACUUUCCUUCUCUUCAAGUGCUUGUCAUUCAUUUUCAUUUUAAACCUCUCUGGGAGCUUGGACAAAAACUUGGACUUGCAUUUGGACUCUGACCAGACAUUCCUUUGGGAUUCUCACUGUAAUGAUGAAUACCACACUCCAAAAAUGUAAAUACAUGUAUGUAGAAUGAGACUUAAACCAUACAAGGAAUUGUCUGUCAGCUCAGCACAGGCCUCAGAUUCAGAGCGGUGUGUGGACAUUGCAUCAUGCAUAAUUCAGCAAAUUGCAAAAUACUUAGCUGACUCUAAAUUAAAAAAAAAAAAUAGAAAAUAAAAAGGAUCAUUGUGUCCUUUAAAAAAAGUCACGACAGAGAGGUCUCAACAAAAACAACAAAAAUAGGGCUUUACACAGUCUGGUGAUUGUGUGACUCUAUGUCUAUAUCAAGUGUGCCAGUCUGCAAAAUACUGAUAUGGUGCCAUGGUCUUUAUGGCUUUAAUCCCCAGCCAGUACACCUAUGAGAGGAUCAAAGCAGAGGUCACACCAGGGAUUUGCUCCACCUUUGAACAAUUUUAAAAUGUAAAAUAAAGCAAAAAAAGAAGGCGAACUUGUUAAAACUGAAAAACUAAAAGCCUUCUUUGGCCUUAGACUGAGUUUGAUCAAAUCUACAAAUGUAAAUAUGCUUUUUUUGGCUUGUAGCAUCAUUAAAUUAUAUGUUAUCUGAAUCAUUAGGUGGGAUUUCUUUGCUCAGUCGGAUAGAACAGAAAUGCCUCAGAUGCUUAAAACUCUUCUAAAAUACACACAGUAGACAAUGAUAUAUUGACAGCUCUUGGCUGGCACUCAAAAAUGCCAGUAGUGAAAACUUCAAACAGGUUCAUGAAGGCAAUUAGGUUAAAAAGACAAGCGCUUCUUUCUGCCACUGACCUACAUCUCUCAUCUAUUCCACAGUUCAGCUGUCCAUCUAAAAUAUUUUCAUUCAUCCUUCCUUUCCUCCCGCACAUAUAUAUAUUUUUUUUACUUUCCAUCCUCCUCUCCCACUACAAGUUGAAAUUCUUGCUCUGUGGGCGAGCACAGAGGUUAGUGAGUACACUGUCUGACUCGUCCAAUGGUUAUUGCUCCAGUAAAACAUGCCAAUCCAUUGUGACAUUCACUUAUACUAGCUCACAAAACUCUACAGCUAGAACACAGUAAAAGAGAAACUGUUAAAAAAGGACUCCUCAAUUUACAGUGAGUGUUGCUAAGACUGGAAAAAUAACAAAAACAAAACAACUUGAGCAGGGGCGGACUUAGCAUUUGGCGGCUGCCAGGCCCCCCUAGACUUUUGGGGCCGUGAGCUAAAGACUUUAAAAAUUUCUAAAUAUUUCUAAAAAAAAAUCAUGGACAUCAUUGUUGUACUCAAAAUAAAAGGAAAAAAAUAAUCCUUGAAGUGGCAGAAGACCGCUCAUGUGAAAGUGUUUCAUCCUCCCCCCGUCAAUCUGUGGCAAUGGAAUAUUCCGCCAACAGCAAGUUAGCUAGCAAAGAGAUUCUUCCAAGAGUUUAAAAAAGGAAAAAAAAAAAGUGGUAAUCAGCUGUGAAAGAAGGAAAAAUAAAAGAAAAAGCCAAAAAAAAAAUGUUGCUAUUCUUAUAAAAGUGCAGGAAGAAAAACAAAACAGAAAAGAAAGCACAGAAUCAAAGCAACUGCGGGGUUGCCAAAGCUCGUCCCGGCUACAAUUGGGCCAAGGCGAGAUACUGAACAGAUCGCUAGCCUGACGCACCCGCAGAGGCCAUCUGGCUGCAGCCAGCUAACCUCGAGGUAGCCAGCGGAGCUCAUUUUCUUGAUACGCCAGCAGACAGAGAGCCUAUGUGGUGGGCCUCCUGAACUUUGUAAUAUUUUUUUUAUCUUCAUCGAGACCAUAAUAAAUAAAAGGUCCAGUAAUUUUAUUUUAGUUUUUUUAUUUUUUCCCGUCCCGGCUUAAUGCCGCACGGCGGUCUGGCAGCAGCGCAAAUUGAGUGUGAGCCUUCAAACUCAGUCACAGAAACACAGAAACACUGUGGAAGCAGCUGUUCUAGAAAACACAGCCCCCCAAUUGAGAGUGAACUAGCUCCCAGAAUCUCAGAAACCUCGACAUGGAGACAUGAGUCUCCAUGUAAACCUGAUCUCUCAAUAUUAUCUGUGUCUUUCAUACAUUCUAAGUGAGAUAUCCACAGACACCACUCCACGUAGCGAUCAGGCUAAAACAUUAGCUGGUAGCUCCUCCCACAUGGUACCACGGCUCGAAUCGUUCAGUGUGAACGUAGCACAAGACUAAAGAAACCACCUACAUAAAGCCUCCUCUACAAAUUUAUCAUUCAAAAUGAAAGCCAAAGUUUUAUUCAACUAAAAUAUUUAAAAAGCACAACAGAAGUGUUUUUAUGGUUUAGCUUAUUUCUUUAUUCAUACAGAAAAAGAAGUCCAAAGGAUGGGCCACGAAAUGAAAAUUUAGAGACAAAAGAGGGAGGAUUCCUUCAUUUAUCCUUUUUUUUAUGUUUAGCAAACCAAGAUUCACUCAGCUAAUUCCUGUUUUAAACCUCAGCACAAACUUUUAGGCACAUUUUCAAAGGACAGAAUUACAGCUUAAGUGUUUUUCUUCUUUUCUUUUCUUCGACUCGUUCAACCCACAAGAAGACUGGGGAGGAAAAUUAAAAAAAAAAAGAAAGCAUGACCUGAUGGCACUAGCAGGAAUACGAGGGGUGAAUUCUUUGCCCAGUGCUGCGCACUCCCGGCCGGUUUCUCCUUGCAAUAACAGAAUGGAUUCCAGAUGUCAAAAUGAUAAACAAAUGGAUUGUCAUAACCUUAUAAAAAUGCACGGCAUCCAGAAGCGCUCACAUUGCUCUAUUGUCUGUGGACCGUCUUCGGAGUCAAACCCAGAAUUUCGGGAUCAUCCCCAAAUUAGGAUAAAGGCUCGUAAGUUCUGUGUUCUUGCUAAAGAACAUGCACAGUAAAUAUGAGCAUAAAUUACCACAGUCAUUUACUACGGGGUUAAUAUUUCAAAGAAAUACAAUUAAAAAUCUGUUUCUCUGAAGAAAAAUAAAUAAUUAUCUAAAAAUUCAGUCUGUUUUAAGAAUCAAUACUUCCUCAUGUUUGGGUAAGAGAGCAGAAAAUUAGAUUCUGAGCUCACAAUCCUUAUUAUUCUAUUUUUUUUCCUUCCCUUCUGAAUUCACAGCUUGAACAAACACCAGUUCCUUAAAACUCAUGGAUCUACUGUCGCAUCUGAGCCACAUGAUACAUAGAAUUUGGCUACUGCAUAUGUUUUUUUCAAACUUUUUUUAGUAUGUUUCAUGUUUAUCUUAAAAUAUUUUUCAAUCUUUUUUUUUCUGCUAAAUUUUCUAGACAACAUAUAAAGCGGUUCCUGGAGGGUCCCGUCAAAACAAGACCUCAAAUUAUUGUUGCUACAGGUGGUUCUAAUAUGCUAUAAAAUCAUGCCCGUAGUUUUUCACUUACUGCUUCUGAGUUUUGGCUGUUUUAUUUUUUUAAAUGAACAAUGACACAGUGUAGUACAGUAUGACUUGCAUUCUCGAGGAGGAAAAAAAUCUAUAAAUUAUCUUAGCAAGGACUAUUUUUUUUUUACUGCCCUGAUAUGUAGAAUAUUGGUUUGGAAACGGCGUGGUGUCACAUGACCGCAGGCUGGCAUUGUCACGCAGCUUUCCCAAGAGCAGAAGCAAAAGUAAUGUCAGUGAUGUCCGAGUCUUUCCCAUACAGCCUCAUAGGAGGGUCUUUGUUCCCCCUCCAAGCUUUGGGGGUCCCCACAGCAGGGCUGUGCCCCACUCCACUGACUCCACAAUGGGUCUUUAUGCUGCCAAGGCCCCCCUCCCUACCAUCACUCAGCCAUGCUUCCCUCAUCAGGGGCACAACAACACACAUGGGGCACCAAAGUUUCCAAAAGAUCUCGCCGCGUGUGGAAGGAGGUUCCGUCAAAAACUUUUCUCAAACUCGUCAUGAAGGAAGCGGAUUCUGAAAGAUCAAGAUUAUUUAUUUUUAAAAGCUGAAUAAAAGCAUCGGUGCACAUCUCCGUGUCUGGGUUCAGAUCUCCCGGUGAGCAGCAGCUGCUCCUGCAACUGGGACGUGAUAUCAGGGGAAGGCAGUAUGGCAAGCUGAAAGGAUCAAAAAUCACCAGGAAAAGCGGGCGUGGCAGUACCUCAUCUGCACAUGUACUACAAAUAGUAAUAAAGAUUUGAAAUAUUUAAAUCUU